GCAGAAAAUGAUUUUUGGAUGUAUGACCA
rnacentral:piRNA from 1 species